rnacentral:rRNA from 1 species
CCUACGGGCGGCUGCAGGAGGGAAUAUUGGUUAAUGUGCGAAAGCGCGAACCAGCAACGCCGCGUGUACGAAGAAGGCCUUCGGGUUGUAAAGUACUUUUCACCGGGAAGAGGAAGGACGGUACCGGUGGAAUAAGUCUCGGCUAACUACGUGCCAGCAGCCGCGGUAACACGUAGGAGACGAGCGUUAUCCGGAUUUACUGGGUGUAAAGCGCGUGCAGGCGGUCUGUUAAGUUGGAUGUGAAAGCUCCCGGCUAAACUGGGAGAGGUCGUUCAAAACUGGCAGGCUAGAGUGUGGUAGAGGGGAGUGGAAUUCCGAGUGUAGCGGUAAAAUGCAUAGAUAUUCGGAAGAACACCAGUGGCGAAGGCGACUUCCUGGACCACAACUGACGCUCAGACGCGAAAGCCAGGGUAGCAAACGGGAUUAGAUACCCAGGUAGUC